rnacentral:lncRNA from 1 species
GACCAAUCAGCGCGUUCUGCUGCUUUAUGAAUUGCUCUCUCUGAGGCUUCAGCUGCGGAUGACUGUGUGUAUCAACUGCCUGGCGGAGGAAGAGGAGAAAAGCGUGGAAACUAUAAGGCAUUGACCACACACACAGAGUUUCAAACACUGGUGAAGAGGAUUAAGCAGUAGGGUUACAAGAGUUAUCCUGAAUGGCCCAUAUAGGGAAGGAGAAUGUGCCAGAAAACAUCCUGCUUCCAAGGACUUCUGCAGAUCCGGGGCGGAAGGAGAGCACUUUGCUUACAGCGGGUGCCUUGAGCAGCAGUAAGAUUCCAGUGCUGUCCAGAAGAAGGCUUCUUCCAGAGCUGAAGCAAUCUCAGCAGCCACAGAAUCGGUUCCAGCAAGGUUGCCAGCCGAAAAAGACCGACAUUCAUGCAGGUUCAGCACCUGGUUUGGAACUCAGAGUGGGAUUGCAGCCCAAGAACAAUGCCAGAGAGCCCUUGGGGGAGGUGCAGCUAAGCGCAUCCGGUCAUAGGAGCGUCAGCGCUGUGCCUGAUGGCAAAGAGUCAAGCACUGAUGAUUUUGUGCCUGACUUUGCUGCCCUUGCCAGCAUCCUGUCCAACACAGGGCUAACAAAUCACAUGGUGAGUGCCAGCCACAAGCCCAGUCUGGCUCAGCGUAUCCCUCUGAAAGGAAAUAGAGCGUUCUCUGUAAGCACUGGGGUGAGACAAGGUUCUCAAUACAUGGGAGCUUCUGAGACAAAUCUCACUCGAACGUCCCACAUCUCCAGGCCAACUUCAAAAGAUUCAAAUCACCCACAAUCUUGUAGCUUGGUCCUGAAUACUCAGCAACUUAAGAUGCUGUCGAUGUCACUUGAGGAUCCACUGGAGAACUUGAAACCUGGGGUGAAGGGAUCAAAACCUAGCCAGCUAACAAAGAACCUAGAAGGAGGCACAUGCAAAGAUUUAGCUGCCAAAGCUAACGGACUGAGUGGCAUUGCUAAGGGUAGACUUCCUGUGCAGAGCAGCUUGGCUGGAAGGAAGGAGACCAUAGGAACACCAAGCCAAGUGGGCGAGUUUGUGGCAAACCCAGCUGCGAAAGCUAGCAUUCUGUUGAACAUAGGCCUCAGCCAUUCAGCUCCUAGGGCCAAUGGUAAGCUGAGUUUGGCCCAGCGUGUGCCAGUGAAAGAGGGGCAGAGGACACCCGGCACCUCCAGAAACACAACGUGUCGCACCCCUUGGACCUGUAAUCGCAUGCUUCCUCGUUCCUGCACAAAGAACAAGAAGGUGAAUGGUUUAGGUGGGAUUACUCCACAAAAGGACACAACUGAAUCCAAACAAGAUGGCACCAAUACACCCUGGAAGAGUAUUGCUGUGUGCCUCUUUGAAGAUGAAAUGGCUUCGUCACAGAAAGCUUCGUCAAAGGAAGCAUCCACACUUCCUGCGAUCCGUCCAGAAAUGGGAAAACUCCAGCGUAUUGAACUCCUUUCCCAACUCCUGAGGGAUGAGGUGAACAACGGCAUUGAUGACGACAUUUCUCCCUCACUGGCGGAACUGCACAAACUGUUGUUGGUCCAUCAUUCAGCUGUCCAAGAUACUUCUGAGGCUGGUCUCCACACUGCAUCUCCUCCAGAUCCUAGGUUAAAUGUCCACAGGGCAGCAUCAACAUCCACUGUCACUUCUGAAACUCCUCACACCACUACCAGCAGUCAGCCCCAUGACUGUCCCAGUCUCACCAGGUCUUCUGCCUGUCUCCCUUUAUCCAAUACAGUUAAUACAGACAAAGUCAAGCAGCGGUUGGAUGACCUCCUCAGCGCACGCCAUCGCUUCCAUGAGGCCUGCCUGAAUGAUGAGUGUGCCUUCUAUACUGCCCGCAUCCAUUCUCUCCCCCAGGCUUCAGGGCAGCGCUGCAAAGAGCCUGUGGCAAAAAUGCUGGAUGCUCAGGAGGCCAUGCACUUUAUACCCAUUUCUCCUCUGUCACUGCCCACAGAAGAUGUUUGCCCUAAUGAAGAUCUGAGCCUGGAUGCUCACGAUAGGACUGCAGAUGCUGAGACAGCAUGCUGAUGUUUUUCAUCACCUGAAGGCUUAUCUUCUAAACUGGGGGAGAUUCUAAAUCUUACCUUCUAAACCUUGGAAUAUUCAUCUCCAGCUGCUGCCUACUAGACUCAAUGGCUACCAGUAAAUGUCCCCGUGAUGCGGAAUCACAAUGGAUAUGGAACCAAGAUCCUUUCCCUAUUCCUUGUCUGAAAGCAUCUGUUGCUUGGUGGAAGCAGGUGCCUGGUGACUUGGGCCGUAAGGUUUCACAUUUUGCACUGAACUGGGAAAUGUUGCUACAGAAGACAACAUACUAACAUUGUACAUUAACUCCAUUUGAUCAGCAUUUUUUUAAACAAUAAUUAAACCACUGAAAACAAAAGACACCUCCUGUUACUUUGAAAUGGUUAUCUGCUGGAUGUCUGUCUUUCCAAUCAGUAGGCUCAGUUUCUUUGGCUUUUGUUUUAGGUUCUCUCUGUGUAAAUCGGUCUUCCUGUUUUGCUGGGAGGUCUUUUUUGCUGUUUCAUAUUGAGGGCUAGGGAAAGAUACAGGAAGUUGAAGCUAGGCACUGGCCCUGAUUUCACUUAAAUUAGCAUUGACUUCUAGUAAGGUUGGUUAGGAACGCUUUAUGGACUGGGCUUCAGUCAUAGAAGAGCCUGAACCCCCAUUAAAGGUUCUAGUCUUUGCAGUUUUAAAUGACGUUUUAAAUUUUAGUAAUACAAAAUCUCCAUUUUAAAGUUUUUUUAAUUGCCAAGUUCUCUUGGGAGACUUUUUUAGUGAUUAAAAUAAAAACGUUGGCUGAUCUGAAGCA